GCACAAUAUUUACUCGAGAAACACUUAAUAAAUUUAACAAAAUUUUAAAACGUUGCACAAUCGUCGCAAUUUAGUCACAAAAUAGUUACACAAACGUUGCAACGUGCGACUGUGUUCUGCUGUCGUCGCAAAAAAGUUGCACAAAGCGACUGUUUUGUGAUAUUGUGAAUAGGUCACAAGACAAACUUUUGAAAUCCACAUAGUUUGAUCCAUUCUAUAGAUAAACAUUACUGAAAAACAACCAUUUUAGUACAUAAAGAACUUUAGGUAUACAAAUGAUUGGUUUCAAACUUAUUUGAGAACUUGUUUGAAAAGAUCAAUCAUGAAAAUGAAUUCACAUGAACCUUAUCAUGUAGAUUAGGUCUUUUUGAAUGUUUGGUUUGUAAUAUUCAGAUUUGAAGUGUUUGGUUAUGUUUUUAUAUAUAAUAUCGACCAAAUUAAAGUGUCAACGUAUAAGAAAACAUAUAAAUAUACCAGAACUUAAAAAUUUCGAAAUUCAAAACUCGAGCGUUGGUAAUAAGUAGCUAAUUGGUUGAAAAGUGCGACUGUGUUCGGUUGUCGUCGCAAAAACGUUGCACCUAGCGACUGUUUUGUGACAUUUUUGAAACAUUUUACAAAUAAAAAUGCUCGUUAGUCCCUAUUCGGUCGCACAAUAUUUACUCGAGAAACACUUAAUAAAUUUAACAAAAUUUUAAAACGUUGCACAAUCGUCGCAAUUUAGUCACAAAACAGUUACACAAACGUUGCAACGUGCGACUGUGUUCUGCUGUCGUCGCAAAAAAGUUGCACAAAGCGACUGUUUUGUGACAUUUUGGAAUAGGUCACAAGACAAACUUUUGAAAUCCACAUAGUUCGAUCCAUUCUAUAGAUAAACAUUACUGAAAAACAACCAUUUUAGUACAUAAAGAACUUUAGGUAUACAAAUGAUUGGUUUCAAACUUAUUUGAGAACUUGUUUGAAAAGAUCAAUCAUGAAAAUGAAUUCACAUGAACCUUAUCAUGUAGAUUAGGUUUUUUUUGAAUGUUUGGUUUGUAAUAUUCAGAUUUGAAGUGUUUGGUUAUGUUUUUAUAUAUAAUAUCGACCAAAUUAAAGUGUCAACGUAUAAGAAAACGUAUAACAUACCAGAACUUAAGAAUUUCGAAAUUCAAAACUCGAGCGUUGGUAAUAAGUACCUAAUUGGUUGAAAAGUGCGACUGUGUUCUGUUGUCGUCGCAAAAACGUUGCACCUAGCGAUUGUUUUGUGACAUUUUCGAAACAUUUUACAAAUAAAAAUGCUCGUUAGUCCCUAUUCGGUCGCACAAUAUUUACUCGAGAAACACUUAAUAAAUUUAACAAAAUUUUAAAACGUUGCACAAUCGUCGCAAUUUAGUCACAAAACAGUUACACAAACGUUGCAACGUGCGACUGUGUUCUGCUGUCGUCGCAAAAAAAUUGCACAAAGCGAAUGUUUUGUGAAAUUUUGGAAUAGGUCACAAGACAAACUUUUGAAAUCCACAUAGUUCGAUCAAUUCUAUAGAUAAACAUUACUGAAAAACAACCAUUUUAAUACAUAAAGAACUUUAGGUAUAUAAAUGAUUGGUUUAGAACUUAUUUGAGAACUUGUUUGAAAAGAUCAAUCAUGAAAAUGAAUUCACAUGAACCUUAUCAUGUAGAUUAGGUUUUUUUGAAUGUUUUGUUUGUAAUAUUCAGAUUUGAAGUGUUUGGUUAUGUUUUUAUAUAUAAUAUCGACCAAAUUAAAGUGUCAACGUAUAAGAAAACAUAUAAACAUACCGGAACUUAAAAAUUUCGAAAUUCAACACUCGAGCGUUUGUAAUAAGUAGCUAAUUGGUUGCAAAGUGAGACUGUGUUCUGUUGUCGUCGCAAAAACGUUGCACCUAGCGACUGUUUUGUGACAUUUUUGAAACAUUUUACAAAUAAAAAUGCUCGUUAGUCCCUAUUCGGUCGCACAAUAUUUACUCGAGAAACACUUAAUAAAUUUAACAAAAUCUUAAAACGUUGCACAAUCGUCGCAAUUUAGUCACAAAACAGUUACACAAACGUUGCAACGUGCGAAUGUGUUCUGCUGUCGUCGCAAAAAAAUUGCACAAAGCGACUGUUUUGUGACAUUUUGGAAUAGGUCACAAGACAAACUUUUGAAAUCCACAUAGUUCGAUCCAUUCUAUAGAUAAACAUUACUGAAAAACAACAAUUUUAGCACAUAAAGAACUUUACGUAUACAAAUGAUUAGUUUCAAACUUAUUUGAGAACUUGUUUGAAAAGAUCAAUCAUUAAAAUGAAUUCACAUGAACCUUAUCAUGUAGAUUAGUUUUUUUUGAAUGUUUGGUUUGUAAUAUUCAGAUUUGAAGUGUUUGGUUAUGUUUUUAUAUAUAAUAUCGACCAAAUUAAUGCGUCAACGUAUAAGAAAACAUAUAAACAUACCAGAACUUAAAAAUUUCGAAAUUCAAAACUCGAGCGUUGGUAAUAAGUAGCUAAUUGGUUGCAAAGUGCGACUGUGUUCUGUUGUCGUCGCAAAAACGUUGCACCUAGCGACUGUUUUGUGAUAUUUUUGAAACAUUUUACAAAUAAAAAUGCUCGUUAGUCCCUAUUCGGUCGCACAAUAUUUACUAGAGAAACACUUAAUAAAUUUCAUAAAAUUUUAAAACGUUGCACAAUCGUCGCAAUUUAGUCACAAAACAGUUACACAAACGUUGCAACGUGCGACUGUGUUCUGCUGUCGUCGCAAAAAAGUUGCACAAAGCGACUGUUUUGUGACAUUUUGGAAUAGGUCACAAGACAAACUUUUGAAAUCCACAUAGUUCGAUCCAUUCUAUAGAUAAACAUUACUGAAAAACAACCAUUUUAGGACAUAAAGAACUGUAGGUAUACAAAUGAUUGGUUUCAAACUUGUUUGAGAACUUGUUUGAAAAGAUCAAUCAUGAAAAUGAAUUCACAUGAACCUUAUAAUGUAGAUUAGUUUUUUUUGAAUGUUUGGUUU
rnacentral:sRNA from 1 species